GAUGAACGCUGGCGGCGUGCCUAAUACAUGCAAGUCGAGCGAAUGGAUUGAGAGCUUGCUCUUAUGAAGUUAGCGGCGGACGGGUGAGUAACACGUGGGUAACCUGCCCAUACGACUGGGAUAACUCCGGGAAACCGGGGCUAAUACCGGAUAACAUUUUGAACCGCAUGGUUGGAAAUUGAAAGGCGGCUUCGGCUGUCACUUAUGGAUGGACCCGCGUCGCAUUAGCUAGUUGGUGAGGUAACGGCUCACCAAGGCAACGAUGCGUAGCCGACCUGAGAGGGUGAUCGGCCACACUGGACUGAGACACGGCCCAGACUCCUACGGGAGGCAGCAGUAGGGAAUCUUCCGCAAUGGACGAAAGUCUGACGGAGCAACGCCGCGUGAGUGAUGAAGGCUUUCGGGUCGUAAAACUCUGUUGUUAGGGAAGAACAAGUGCUAGUUGAAUAAGCUGGCACCUUGACGGUACCUAACCAGAAAGCCACGGCUAACUACGUGCCAGCCGCCGCAGUAA
rnacentral:rRNA from 1 species